rnacentral:rRNA from 1 species
AAAUUGAAGAGUUUGAUCAUGGCUCAGAUUGAACGCUGGCGGCAGGCCUAACACAUGCAAGUCGAACGGUAACAGGAAGCAGCUUGCUGCUUUGCUGACGAGUGGCGGACGGGUGAGUAAUGUCUGGGAAACUGCCUGAUGGAGGGGGAUAACUACUGGAAACGGUGGCUAAUACCGCAUAACGUCGCAAGACCAAAGAGGGGGGACCUUCGGGCCUCUUGCCAUCAGAUGUGCCCAGAUGGGAUUAGCUUGUUGGUGAGGUAACGGCUCACCAAGGCGACGAUCCCUAGCUGGUCUGAGAGGAUGACCAGCCACACUGGAACUGAGACACGGUCCAGACUCCUACGGGAGGCAGCAGUGGGGAAUAUUGCACAAUGGGCGCAAGCCUGAUGCAGCCAUGCCGCGUGUAUGAAGAAGGCCUUCGGGUUGUAAAGUACUUUCAGCGGGGAGGAAGGUGUUGUGGUUAAUAACCGCAGCAAUUGACGUUACCCGCAGAAGAAGCACCGGCUAACUCCGUGCCAGCAGCCGCGGUAAUACGGAGGGUGCAAGCGUUAAUCGGAAUUACUGGGCGUAAAGCGCACGCAGGCGGUCUGUCAAGUCGGAUGUGAAAUCCCCGGGCUCAACCUGGGAACUGCAUUCGAAACUGGCAGGCUUGAGUCUUGUAGAGGGGGGUAGAAUUCCAGGUGUAGCGGUGAAAUGCGUAGAGAUCUGGAGGAAUACCGGUGGCGAAGGCGGCCCCCUGGACAAAGACUGACGCUCAGGUGCGAAAGCGUGGGGAGCAAACAGGAUUAGAUACCCUGGUAGUCCACGCCGUAAACGAUGUCUACUUGGAGGUUGUGCCCUUGAGGCGUGGCUUCCGGAGCUAACGCGUUAAGUAGACCGCCUGGGGAGUACGGCCGCAAGGUUAAAACUCAAAUGAAUUGACGGGGGCCCGCACAAGCGGUGGAGCAUGUGGUUUAAUUCGAUGCAACGCGAAGAACCUUACCUGGUCUUGACAUCCACGGAAGUUUUCAGAGAUGAGAAUGUGCCUUCGGGAACCGUGAGACAGGUGCUGCAUGGCUGUCGUCAGCUCGUGUUGUGAAAUGUUGGGUUAAGUCCCGCAACGAGCGCAACCCUUAUCCUUUGUUGCCAGCGGUCCGGCCGGGAACUCAAAGGAGACUGCCAGUGAUAAACUGGAGGAAGGUGGGGAUGACGUCAAGUCAUCAUGGCCCUUACGACCAGGGCUACACACGUGCUACAAUGGCGCAUACAAAGAGAAGCGACCUCGCGAGAGCAAGCGGACCUCAUAAAGUGCGUCGUAGUCCGGAUUGGAGUCUGCAACUCGACUCCAUGAAGUCGGAAUCGCUAGUAAUCGUGGAUCAGAAUGCCACGGUGAAUACGUUCCCGGGCCUUGUACACACCGCCCGUCACACCAUGGGAGUGGGUUGCAAAAGAAGUAGGUAGCUUAACCUUCGGGAGGGCGCUUACCACUUUGUGAUUCAUGACUGGGGUGAAGUCGUAACAAGGUAACCGUAGGGGAACCUGCGGUUGGAUCACCUCCUUACCUUAAAGAAGC